rnacentral:rRNA from 1 species
AUUGAACGCUGGCGGCAUGCCUUACACAUGCAAGUCGAACGGUAACGGGCCUUCGGGUGCCGACGAGUGGCGAACGGGUGAGUAAUACAUCGGAACGUGCCCGAUCGUGGGGGAUAACGAGGCGAAAGCUUUGCUAAUACCGCAUACGAUCUACGGAUGAAAGCAGGGGGCCGCAAGGCCUUGCGCGGACGGAGCGGCCGAUGGCAGAUUAGGUAGUUGGCGGGAUAAAAGCUUACCAAGCCGACGAUCUGUAGCUGGUCUGAGAGGAUGAUCAGCCACACUGGGACUGAGACACGGCCCAGACUCCUACGGGAGGCAGCAGUGGGGAAUUUUGGACAAUGGGCGCAAGCCUGAUCCAGCCAUGCCGCGUGCAGGAUGAAGGCCUUCGGGUUGUAAACUGCUUUUGUACGGAACGAAAAGCCUUCUUUUAAUACAGGAGGGUCAUGACGGUACCGUAAGAAUAAGCACCGGCUAACUACGUG